rnacentral:lncRNA from 1 species
AGUAAUAUGAGUUUGGAUAUAAGUAGCAGUCUCAACAUCAAUUAUGUAAAGUUUAUGAGAGCAUUCAUUAAACAUCUUUUUCAUGGUUCCUGCAUCCUUAAUCCAGUAUCCAUUUGCAUCUUUGAUCAUGUUAGUAAUCUUCAUUCUUCUUCUUUGCGCUGCUUUAACAUGAUAAAAACAAGUAUUUCUAUCCUCAUCCACUAGCCAUUUAGUUUUUGAUCUCUA